rnacentral:lncRNA from 1 species
AUGCAUGGUUCUGCUUCCACGAGCUCUGAUGUCUGCUUCUCCCUCCGGGGUUAUUUGCCGCAGGAGCAGGGAGACUCUAGGGACUGUCCUGCUACCCAGGCAGUGUUUGCUUCCCAAGGCAUUUAUCCCACAGGUCUGUUGUCAGUGUUUGAAAUGGUGAUGCUAUUACAAAGAUCUGGGAUCAUUAUUUUUCAUGAUGGAAUAAUACAUGGCAGUAGUAAAGAAAAGAAAGCAGAAUAAAAGUUGUAUUUCCCCUUCAGUGUUUCAUGACCUGAUAGCUAGGCCUCCUUGACUUCUUAUUUUUAGUUUCCAACUACCAAUGCUAGAAGGUGCAUUUUCAUUCCGUCAAGAAGUUGGCAGUCUCCGAGGCUAAGCCUGCUCUUGCAUCCUGCUCUCAGCGCUGUGGCAGCUGGUAUUCUCCAAGGACAACCCCAACAUUAUCUCCCUUCCCAAACUCUCCUCGAGGACCUAGCGACUCCCCCUUCAAUCCUGAACAUGGGCAGGCUGGUGACGUACUUGUAAGCACCAGAAGGUAGCAGGAGCGAUGCGGUGUCACUUCUCAGCCUAUGUCACCUUGUGAACUGGAAUAUUCAUGCCAGAGUCCUGAGCGGCCCUGCGAGGAGCCAGCUGCCCCAGGGCAGUCAUGCUAGGAGGAGGCCCAAUUUAACCCACACAGAAAGAUCACCCAGCAAGUCCUGGGAUGACACGAAGACAGCCAGUGGCUCCAGUCCCAGCUUGUCCUAUCCUCCGCACCUGCAUGAGCACCCAGAGUUGGAACCACCCAGCCAAGCCCUUCUUCCCAAACAGUUGGCCCACAGAAAUGGUAGAGAUAAGAAAUAUUUCUGUCCUAAGCUACUAAGUUUUGGGGUGACUUGUUACAUAGAAAGAAUAAUGAAAACAUAGAGACUGAGAAGAAAGUAAAUUACAGGGGCGCCUGGGUGGCUCAGUCGUUAAGUGUCUGCCUUCGGCUCAGGGCGUGAUCCCAGGGUCCUGGAAUCGAGCCCCGCAUCGGGCUCCCUGAUUUGCUGAGAGCCUGCUUCUUCCUUUCCCACUCCCCCUGCUUGUGUUCCCUCUCUCGCUGGCUGUCUCUCUCCCUGUUAAAUAAAUAAAUAAAAUCUUAAAAAAAAAAAAGUAAAUUACAAAUCAAAGUAGUAGUUCAGCUUCAGAAAUUCAUCAGCAGAAUUUCUGGAGCAGGUCUAUCGGAAUAUAGCCACUCUGGUAAGUUCUACCAUUUCUCAUUAAUAUGUUGAAAACUCUAGAUCCCCGUUGGCAUAGAGAUUGAAACGUUUGAAUCACAAAUCUUGUUUUCUUCUGUCUGUGACAAACUAUCCCAAUUGAAAUUGCAAAUGAGUCAAACCCAGAAAGAAAGUGGUUAUAUGACAAAUACAUUAGAGUCACUUUGAAUCACCCCAAAUUCUCCUUGAGUACUUACCUCUUGUCUAGUAGGUAAGUUAGCUCCCCUAUUUUUUUCUUUUUUUCUUUUUCUUUUUUUCUCCUUUUUUUUUUAGAGGGGGAGAGUGAGAGAGAGAGAGAGAGAGAGAGAGAGAAGGAGCAGAAGGAGAGGAAUAGAGAGAAUCUUAAGCAAGCUCCACCCCAGCUCAGAGCCUGACCUCACAACCCUGAGAUCAUGACCUGAGCCAAAAUUAAGAAUUGGACGCUUAACUGUCUGAGCCACCCAGGCGCCCCUCUCCCCAUUUUCAAAGUGGGUAAAUAACAGAAUGACCUCCUACUGUGUUUCCAAGAUUUUAUGCUUCUCCAUGGGAGGGAGAGUUAUGAUUAAGAGAUGAAAUGGUCUAGGAGACAACAUUUUAAUCAUCUUCCCUGAAAGAGCUGCGUCUCUCAUUUGGCUGUCUUCACUGGUGCUUCCGAUGAGGCUGCUUUGUAAAGAGAAGUGUUCCUCCACAUUUCUCUUAUACUGGUGCUGCUCGCUUUGUCUCAUGAGCGAUGAAGAGAGAGGAGCUCUGUCUUUUCCAGUACUCCGCUGGUCCCCACAGCACCUACCACAGCUCUGCACGCAGGAAACACUUGGAGAAUGUGAUGCCUAAAUAGGAGUAUUUCAAAGAAUUAGACAUCCAGCAAGCUCUUUACAAAUGUCUAUGAGAUAAUAAUAAAGGCCUUGAUUAUAAUAAUAAUAUCUAAUAUUUAUUGAGUACUGAUUAGUUAUCAAGCACUGCACAAAAUAUUUUAAAGCAUUAUCUCAUUUAAUCUUCAUAAUAUUCACUUAACUGACAUAAAAAUGGCUCUGGAGUGUGUGUGUGUGUGUGCGCACGUGUGCGUGUAUGUGUGUGCGCGUACGUGUGCGUGUAUGUGUGUGUAUCCUGGGGCCCUCAGACUCUUGGCUGUAGCUAUUUGAUUUUCUUUGUGGCUUCAUGAAGUACUGCAGGCAUGGGAAGAGAAUUGUUUUUUUCUAUAGAAAUGGAUGGCAGCCAUGGGAGGAUGAGGAAAGCAGAAACUGACGCAGCAGGAAUUGCUAUGAGCGUCAGGUCCAUCUAAGCUAGAGUCUGCGUCAGUCACACGGAUGGAAGCGAAAAGGGGGAUAAGAUGAGGGAACAUGUUACCUCCUUGGAAAAUCUUUCCUGAAAAUCCAGUCUAAAAGAUUCUUUGUCCCUCCAGCCUCAUAGCCCUUGCCUCCUGCCCCUUAUAAGUCUUAAACACACACACACGCGCAUAUACGCACAUGCUCGCACACAGGCACACUCACGCUGGCACACGAUGUACUAAUUGUUUAUCAUUGAUCUUGCAGGACUAGAUUGCAUGACUCUUGAGGUCAGAAAUAGCAGGGAAGCUUCUGUGUCCCCAGAGACUAGAAGAGAGGCUGGCACAGAGUAGGUGUUCAAUGAAUAUUUGUUGAAUAAGUUAGGUGAAUAAUAACAGACUUUAAGAAGAAUUGAAAAGGGGUAGUUGGAUGAAAGAUUUUGGUGAAAGGAAAGGAGAAAACCAUCUGCUUCCAGGGCUGAGACAGGCUCUUGGCUGAACGCACGAGAUGAAAGCUGCCGUGGCUUCCCACCCUCUGUCCCGAAGUUAAUAAGAUCGAGCAAAGCAGCAGACACAUGAUAGGACAUGAUGUUUCUAAUCACACAAGAAGCCUCAUUUUUAAAAUACCUUUGGCCAGAUUCAUUUUCCUUCUCAUGUUUAUAGCAUUGGUAGACAUUAUACAUUUUUAGUAACCACUUAAUUUGUUUUUGUUUGUUUGUUUUUAGUGACGAGCUCCCACCAGCAUUUGUAUCACGUAGGUACCAGAAUCCAGAGACCAAAACGAUAUCCAAUGCUCUUUAGGUUACUUAUCCGAUGCCUCUAAGAUAACAGGUCAGAUUAUUCCUGUCCUCCUGCAUUUCACAAACACCCACUACAUAGACACGAUCUGUGUCAGGCACGAGCAGGAAAACAAAGAUGGCUCAGAUAUAGACCCAGUCCUCAGAAACCAGUAUGGACCCCCAGCAGAAACCAGUAUGGACCCCCAGCAGGCUGCACCAUUUUCCACGAACACUUGUACCAUGUUUCUUUUCUGUAGAAGCAAGUGACAGUUUACAUUAAGUCACCGAGUUUAUUUUCACUGAUCUCACCAGCUGCAGAGCGGCUUUCGUGAUCUUCUUUAAUGUCAUGGAAAAUUUCCUGUGGGCUGUGUUGUCCUGUCUCUUUCUUUCUUAAAGCAGAAAGUAAGAGGAGAAAAAAAAGUGUUAGGACAUCUGGUUUAUGUGCCUCUGGGAAAGGACUGAAUUCUUGAUACUUUUUGUUCCUUUUAUUGCUGCCUUUACCACCAUGAUUUGGAAUAUCAGUCAUUUCAACAAAUAUCCAGAUUACAAGGUUUUUAUUUUCUUUUUGAUUUUCUGACUUUAUGAAGACGUUUUUAUAAUCCCACCUAUCAGAUGCAUUCACUUUUCAUACAUUCAUUCAUUCAACAAAUAUGUCUUGAGUUACUAGUACAGGCCAAAUAUUACCCUACUCUCAAGGAGCCCAUCGCCUUGAGGGAAGAUAGACAGGCAAACCCACAAUUUUAGUACAAUCAGAAAUGUGAUUUAAUGAGAUAUGUGUAAGCCUGGGCCAGGACGAGUCAUGGAGGGGGGCAAAAGAAAGGAGCCUAAGUCUGCUGUGAGAAUCAGGAAAAGAUUCAUAACAGAGCUAACUAUCAGGCUGCAGGAUGAAGAACAGGUAAGAAGCAAGAAAAGCAAGGUGUGUGUGUGUGUUGGGGCUCGGGGAGAUGUUCCAGGGUCAAAAAAGUUCAGAGACGUGGAAAUGCAACACAGAUGCGAUAUAGUUAGAGUGUAAAGUAAACGUGAUAAGUAGCAGAAGAAACUAGAGAGGAAAAUAAGAGUCUACUCAUGGAAAGGCCUUGCAUGUCAUUAAAAGGAGUUGAGAUAUUUAACCCAGAGGGAAUGUGAAAGCAUGAGAAAUUUCUGAGCAAGAGAAUGAUGGAAUCAAAUCUUGUUUUGGAAAGACGGCAUCAUGAGGAUUGAGUUUCUGGUAAUGGAGGAGCGGUGUGGGGAAGCCAAAGAAAGCCAGAGAGAUAAAAGUAGGUAGGCUGUGGAGAUAACAUAGGUAGGAGAUGAUGCUGUUCUUAUCAAAACAGAUUCAAUUUUGACUCUCGAUUAGUUGAAAUCAGAUGGUCAGUAUGAAAUAAUGAACAGAAAAAAACUGGAAUCAACAAAUUUAACAAGUACUUAUUUAGAACAUAUUACCUGCCAAAUGAUGUGAGUUGCCAGGGGAAGAGCGAUGAGUAAUACAGGGUCCUCUUCUUAAGAAAGCUCCAAGUCUGGGGCACCUGGGUGGCUCAGUCGGUUGAGCAUCAGCUCUUUUGAUUUUGGCUUAGGUCAUUAUCUCGGGUCGUGAGACAGAGCCUGCGUUAGGCUCCACACUGAGCGUGGAGCCUGCUUAGGAUUCUCUCUCCCUCUCCCUCUCCCCACCUCCAAUCUCCCCCUUUCGUGGCUGCACAUUCUCUCUCUCUCUCUAAAAAAAGAAAGGAAGCUCCAAGUCUGAGAAGUGAGACAAAUCAAGUCAGCCUUAGUAUACAAUGAGAUAAGAGCCCCACUGAAGCAUGGAAGGCUCUGGGAACAAAGAAGC